rnacentral:rRNA from 1 species
GAUGAACGCUGGCGGCGUGCCUAAUACAUGCAAGUCGAGCGAACGGACGAGAAGCUUGCUUCUCUGAUGUUAGCGGCGGACGGGUGAGUAACACGUGGAUAACCUACCUAUAAGACUGGGAUAACUUCGGGAAACCGGAGCUAAUACCGGAUAAUAUUUUGAACCGCAUGGUUCAAAAGUGAAAGACGGUCUUGCUGUCACUUAUAGAUGGAUCCGCGCUGCAUUAGCUAGUUGGUAAGGUAACGGCUUACCAAGGCAACGAUGCAUAGCCGACCUGAGAGGGUGAUCGGCCACACUGGAACGGAGACACGGUCCAGACUCCUACGGGAGGCAGCAGUAGGGAAUCUUCCGCAAUGGGCGAAAGCCUGACGGAGCAACGCCGCGGGAGUGAUGAAGGUCUUCGGAUCGUAAAACUCUGUUAUUAGGGAAGAACAUAUGUGUAAGUAACUGUGCACAUCUUGACGGUACCUAAUCAGAAAGCCACGGCUAACUACGUG